AGGACGAACGCUGGCGGCGUGCUUAACACAUGCAAGUCGAGCGGUAAGGCCCUUCGGGGUACACGAGCGGCGAACGGGUGAGUAACACGUGGGUGACCUGCCCUCAGCUCUGGGAUAAGCCCGGGAAACUGGGUCUAAUACCGGAUAUGACCACAUGUCGCAUGGUGUGUGGUGGAAAGUUUUUCGGCUGGGGAUGGGCCCGCGGCCUAUCAGCUUGUUGGUGGGUGAUGGCCUACCAAGGCGACG
rnacentral:rRNA from 1 species